UACGUAGGUGGCAAGCGUUGUCCGGAUUUAUUGGGUUUAAAGGGUGCGUAGGCGGUUCUCUAAGUCAGUUGUGAAAUACUUCAGCUUAACUGGAGAGGUGCAAUUGAUACUGGAGAACUUGAGUACUGAUGAGGUAGGCGGAAUGGGCGGUGUAGCGGUGAAAUGCUUAGAUAUCGUCCAGAACACCGAUAGCGAAGGCAGCUUACUAAGGAGUAACUGACGCUGAGGCACGAAAGUGUGGGGAUCAAACAGG
rnacentral:rRNA from 1 species